UGGUAUUUUGCAUAAAUUAUCUAUUGUACGAAGUUAAAACGAUUAAAUAACCAAUAACAGCAGUAGAAAUUUCUUAUUUGGUGGUUAGAUAUGGAAAACAACUUAAUAUUAUUGCCCAGUUUCAGCAGAUAUAUAUUUACUUCUAUAUCCGUGCACAUUACGUCAUUCGGCUAUGAAUAUUGAACUUUGCUUGCAGAGUACUGCUAAAGAGGAAAUUGUGCGCACGAGAUCAAUAGGAUAUUUGGAAAUUUGUAAACAUGAAGAAGCUUGUAUGAUAGUUUAGAAUUGUUUACUAGUGAUUUUUAUGACGUGUCUAAAGCUUACAUCACGUGAUGUGACCCAUGUUUUGGUUUGGAGAGUACAAGAAGUGAGGCUAACAGAGAGGAUUUUUUCUGCCCAUGUUGCCGCCCCGCUAGUUGCUUGGUUCGGGUUUACAGUGUAUGAUAAUGGCAGCUGGAAGUAAGCGCUCGGAAUAUAUUUGUUCUGAAAAAUUUUUCAGGGAUAUUUCUGAGCUGCAGGACCCGAGCUUGCGGAGGGCAACAUUUGCUUCGCUGGAAUCUGGCCAACUGACCCCACUGUUAAAGGAAGAAUUAAAAUGUCGCAUACAAUCGCGUCGAUUGUCGGAAGGCAAGGAGGAACUGCACGUCGAUUUUACAUCUCCGUCCAAAUUUCAGCCAAGACCUGAUGAGAUCGAAAAACUAAACAAAAGACGGGAACAGAACAGGCGAGCUGCCCGAAAAUUCCGCCAAAAGAAAAGGAAGGACGGCGAUAACUUAAUGAAGGAAGCUGAGAAACUGGAUACAGAUAAUACCUCGUUACAAGAAGAGAUAGCAAAGUUGUAUGAAGAGAGAAACAAGUUGGAAGAAAUCUUGAAUGACCACACCCACAAAUGUCAAUUAGUUUCAACCGGCCAAUCAACGUCAGCAGAUGUCACAUGACACCACCCAUCAUUAUGCACACGUCCCCUUCAUAUUGAUCUCCAUUAGUGAUAGUCGUUGUAGAUAGUAGAAUCCUAUCUCCACAACAGCGAUGGACUUCAAGAAUUCUGAAAAUUUCAGUACAACUUUGCGUCGAAGACAUUUCCCAAAAUGUUAAAGUUUUAAAAAAUAUUAUGCAACUAACAUAAGUACAGACCUUAUCCGAGUGGAUAUUGACACCUUUGAUAUUUAAGGUUAAUAAGUUUUAACUUCAUAUUAUUGGUUUAUUCACUGAUAAUAUGAAUUAUAUGACGUAUUUGUUGCCAGAGGCGAGGCAAUCACAGAACACCAAAUAAUACACAAUUUUGAACCAUUGAAAUGUCUCUUCUAUAGGACAGACCGGAAAUCCAUCAGAUAUCUCGUUAUUGCAUCGCUGUUGUCGAGUUUUAGAAUCAUAUUAUAAAUACUUGUUAUCAUAUAAAUAUAUAUAUACUAUUAUCAUUACUCGUUACAUUUUCAUGUUAAUAUUAUUAUCCUAGUUGUUAAUUUCUCUGUGAUAUAUCCUUAUUAAAAGCUGCUUUAAUAUAAAACAAAAUCAGCAUCAUUUAGCUCAAUCUCAUUAUACAUAUUAUAUUAUAUAUACUUGUACUAACACUUUUUAUUCUGAUUCAAAUAUACAUCUUAUUCGUUUCAUAUAAAGACCAAUUUCUAGUUUAACCGAACGGAUAGUCGCCAUAUAAUAAAGACCAAUUUCUAGUUUACCAAUCCGACAGUCUCCGAAUUCUGAUGACGUCUGAUAAUAACGUCAUACUCGGCGCAUCUUCCAGAUAUCUGUGCCAGUAUGCCAUAUCACUAUUGUGGUAGAGGACGUUAAAUCUCAAAGCGAAUGACAUACAAUCCUUCUCGUUAUUUCAAUCGAAGCACUUUCGACAGAUUAGAUAUUAAACAAUUUUGACAUUUUAACGCGAUCAAAGCUAUAAAAAAACAAAAAACAAACUGUGUUGAACUAAGAAAAUGGAACUCAAGAUUUGUAUUUGUAUCAGGCAAUAAAUAUGAGUUUUUGUAGACACACCAGAAUGUGUAAGAUACAACUGAUGAGCCUACAAAAAUUGUUAUCUAGGCAUAUGCAACCGUGGUGUAUUUCCCAGCACUAUGGACUUGACUUGUUUCUUUAAUCAUUCAGUACGCUGCCAACUAUUUGCAGCACACGCGACAAUGCGUCUUCAUUCAAUAAGUCACGUGAUCUUUAUUUAGAUCACUUGUGUAACCUUGACUAUCGUGGAUUCAUGACCUGUCAUGAUUCGCACAGAGCUACGUUCACCAUAUUCCGAGAAAUCCCGACUGUAUCAUCUUGAACAUGUAUUAAAAAGAUAUAUAACUUUGAACCCAGCAUUCCCUUCAACUAAAAUCGCAUAAUCUGGUGUGCCUACAAAAACCCUUCUUGUAUUAUAUACGACUAUAGCUGUUUUUAUCAUAUAGUUAAGUUUAAAUGAUAUAAAUAAUUGUUCAUUAAUUCGUGUUACAGUUUAUAAAUUGUUGUAGUUACCCUAUCUUCACUUUUUGAGGAAAUCACGAGUAGUAAUAAAAAUGAAGUAUUCGAUCCUAAAGUGCGAUCUAAUACAAAAAUUCAAUAAUCCAAUGUAUCAACAGUCAAAUAAACAAAAUUAUAGAUGUACAUAAAUAAAUCAUAUUCGACUCACUUAAAUAGUUUUAAAAAGAAUUCUUUUGACAGAAUUCCAAAUCUCAAAAUAACUCUGUCCCGAAUAUAAAAAAGGAAAAACGAAUAUUAAACAACAUUUUAAUUUAAUUUAAGUACAUAAAUGAAAUGGGGUUUAACGUCCUACUUUUUUGCACCAACCAUUUAAGUACAUAAACUUGGUAUUAUGCCAAUGUAUGUAAACAUGGCAUAGAUGAGGAGUGAUCUUUCUGUCUCAGUCAAGUAAUGAUUAUAAAUGUUCGCAAAACAAACUGUCAUUGCGUUCCAAUUUUUGAAAUUAACUUACAAAUUAAAGUUACAACUGAUAUAGUGAUAGAUAACACUUCUUAAAAUUCUGUUGUAAUUUUGUAUAUAUAAUCUUUUUGUCACUUUUCCAUUCAUUUACUUGGUAUAAAUCAGGGUAAAGGAAACUGGCUUCAUAUCCGGAAUUCAUAAUAAAGGAAAAUAACCCUUCUUACAGUUGAUUUUCAUUUCACAUAUAUAUAUAUGUCAUUAUAAAGCAACAAAUGAAAAACUCAGAUUUCAAUUAAGCGCCGCUUGUCCAUCCGUUGGGUUAUUUCAAGUUUUGGUUUAAAUUUGUGUACAGUAAUAGAGAUGUUCACUCUGGUGUUAGACUGCAAUACCUAGAUUGGCUACAAUUGCUCAUGUCUGUCUAGACGGAUCACGGGUGUUAUCCUCCAAAUUUAACCUUCUUGUACCGGUAUUUAGAAAUGAAAACAUACAUGAAUCACUAAAAUGAAUAAUUCUUAAGACUUAACACCAUCAUGAAAAUAAACACGAUUUUUCCAUUUCUUCUCACAUAAUAAAACUACCCUAACACUAAUCUCUAGGGUCGAGUGUUUUUUAGUCAAGUAAGUGUUAAUGCUUGUCAAAGAAUAAAAGUAAAUAGAUGUCUAGAUGACCUAGACUAUAAAAUUUAAAUUCUAGUUGUCUGGCUCUAGGCGAGUGCAUUAAGGCAAUGUCCUAGUUAAAGAACUGGUAGUAACUCGUUUGCCAAAAGUGUUAAGAUGUAUGUGUAAGUGUACUUAAUGUAAAACUCAAAACCUACUAACUCGGUACUAACUAUGGACUAACUCAAAUGGACACUAACUCAACUCUGAUCAAACUAAACUUGAAAUGACCCAAUAUAGUCGGACAUAUUGUAACUAACGCAAUCAUUAUUUACGGCUUAAUUAUGCAUAUUUAAUAUAAUUAUAAAGGCGUAACCCUACUGGUAAAUUAACUUUUUAACUUUCUGUGAUAUAUGACAAAGUCAUCUCGUCAACUAGGUCAUUGAUAUGCAUUGCAUAGUGAUGGAUCUAGAUUUCCAGAAAAAUGGAGGAGUGCGACACCUUGAUUAUUUAUGUGGGUGUCGUAUUUAACAUUUCUGAUAUUGCAAAUUUUCAUCUUUGUUUAAUGAGAAGAUAUCACUUUCGGAAAUAUGUCCAUAAACUUACACAACUUGCUACCAGAACUUUUUCAAGCCUAUUUUGAGACAGCAUAAGUUAAUCGUCGACUCAGUCCGCUAGUAGUAGUAACUGGUGUCGAAUACGAGUCAGGAUGUGGACAUUCUUUCUUUAAUACGCAAAACCACUUCACAGCUUACCAAAUUUCCUUGUAUUUUAACCAUUGGGUUGGUGACAUUGGUCUUCUAUCCAGCCAGUUUUGAUUUUCCAAAUCAAUUUUUAAACAAUAGCCCAAGUUGGCUAUAACAUAAGUAGUGACGUUUGUCUUGCGCGAUUAACAGAUCAUUAUCCAGAUUUUGGAGGUUUUGAAAUAUAACACAAAAACUACUCACCGUUAUUUUCACCACUUUAAUUAAUUACUGGUGGUAAUAUUAUUAAUGUAGGAUAUUUAGAUUUUAUUUCCCUAUUUAGAUUUUUAUUUCCUAUCAUCACCGUACAUUGUAAUCGCAUUCGUUACCAUUUACAUUGUAUCAAAUCUCACUAUGUCCAUAUGAAUUUGAAGAUCAGAACCAUAUAAAUGUGACCAUAGAAGGUGUAUAUUUUCAGGUCUGCGAAAGAUCGGCGUAUUUUUUAAACGUCCAGUGUUGGUCAUUGAAGAUCUUGCUCAUAGCAAUCACAAAUUGACGGAUGUUCUUGUUUAUUCUAAAAAAUAUCUUUUCAACCUCAUUAUUUCAUCAACCUGUGGUUGUAUUUAUCAUCUAUAACAUCAUUUAAACAUAACAUCGCAAAUCAUAUAAUAUAUUUCUUUGUGAUAACAUCAUACGUUUUACUGGGAUUUUCGACCCAGAACAAAAUACCAUCCUUGCUCAUUUACCAAUGGAAAUCAAGUGGUAAUAUAUAUUUGUACAUAUUGUAUCUUCGGUAUCCCAAGUUUUUAAUUGAUCAUUGUUCGGUGGCAUUAAAACUUUAUUAGUGCAUAACACACUUACACAGAACAGAAAUAUUCCAACAAAAUCUAGCUUAGCAACACGAGCAGUGUCUUGAAGGGAUAGGCUCAUCUACCACAGUUCGUACUAUAGAAUAUAUGCCUGUUAAGUUUUAGAAAUGUAUGCCUCAAAAGAUACCAAAUUCAAAAUUCCAAUAUAAAAUAUCGAGCAAUUAUUGGUCUAGCAAUGUUUUAAAGUUUCGAAGGACUAAUGAAAACCGCUGUAUUAUUUUGCAAUGAAUGUAAGCACUUAAAUAUAUUGUUUACAAUAUGAAAGUCGAGUAUGUCGAUUUAAAAAUCAGGGGUUGAUAAAGGAAAUAAGGAAACGAAUAGGCCAACAAUGUGAGUUAUCCAUUUACUGAGAACUUGGGCUAUCGACGAUUUAAUACGAUAUAUAAAAUGUAAAUAUGUGUAUAUCGCUUUUACUUUUCACCUUGUGUAUUCCUUUUGUAACCAUAUGCAUUGAUUGUUUUAGAAUUAUUUUUGACAUUGAUAGAUUUUCUUUUUGAAGUUUAUAUCCCUGUUUGACCAAACUAUAUGUACCAUCUCGGGAACUACUUGGAUCACUGAAAGUUCAUGUAGUAUUUACCCAAAUAGUUCAUUUAUGUAUUGACCAUUUGAAAUAUACGUAGUAGAUUACAAGUUCAUCUGAAUAAUAAACAACCCCUGACAAGAGAGUUUGGCAGACUAAAACAUCCAUAAAGACAAAAUCAGAGUCUGAACGAACCUUUGGAGCUAUCGCAACCAGAGGCUAUUCUUUUUAAAAAGAAUGACGCAAGUCUACUACCUUUUUAUGAUUACGAGCCUUAUCCUCUAAAACGUAAAUCUCUUUCUAUAAGUUUAAACUUAAAAUCUACAAUACCGCUGGUAACUCUAACGAUUCACGAAACUUGCAUUCAUAAUAUUCCAAACUAAAAGGCAAAUAUAGACUUUCAGUCUAUACACAAUAUAAGGUAUGGACGUACAAAAAUGCACAGUUGAGCAGUGUUUAUAAAAGGUAUUUAAAUAAGAAUAAUGACUAUUGGUCUUCUGGGGCAUUGUACUAUUAAGACGGAUUCGUAGUGUCAGUAAAUUAGAAGCCGUGUCUUCUGUCUUUGUCCAGUAGGUCACCAAAAUGUCUAAGCAAUGGAUUGUCAUAGCUAUAAUUACAUGUGUGAUUCCGGCUAUACCCGUUUUUAUGAUGUAGUUUAAAACUUGUUUUUGUCUUUUUACUUUAUAAACAUUAUACAUAUAUAACCUUAUACAUACCUCAAAAACUUUGUAAUUUAACGAAGUUUUAUAAUUUACAAUUGUUUGCACGUGAUAUAUUUAGACUUAGAAUAUUGCUUUAACAUCGAUGUUUUAUAGUUACAAAAUACUCUUUCAAGAGAAAAUUUAAGUAAGUAAGCACCAAAGUAAAAAAUUAAAUUCCCUUUUUUAAAAAUUUACAGGGGCAUUGUUGGUGUUUUUACUGUUGAAACAUCUCUUCACUACAAUAAAUAAUCACAAAUUGGAUUACAAUUUCGUUUUUGUUUUUAUUUUUCGGAUUUUACAUAUCCAAAAUAAAGUGAAACGUAAUAAAUACCUGAUUUAGUCAGAUAGUCAGUUUGACAGUGUCUCUUUGAUUCUGUGACAUCAUUGUAAAGCUACUGUAUAAAUCUGAAUGCUCAUUUUGGUGGAAGAAGAUUAUGAAUAUUGUCAGUAGAGGCAUUAGGUAAUAAUAAAUUACAGUAUUUUCGAAAAGUGGCAGGAUUUUUGUAUGCUAGGUCACUGAGAAUGUGCCAAAUGUUUUAUAAAUAUAUAUAAUAUUUUGUAUUUUAUAAAAAUAUUAGGAGUGGUGAUUAUAUAUAAUUAUGUAUGUAUGACCGUAGAAGAUACAGCUUGUUUUAUGUUAAGUUUAGAUAAACCGCCGUAUUAACAAUAAUCAGAAACCAAUCGUUAUCAAUUGGAAUUAACGAGUGCCAUGAAUAUAUAGGUCUGCCAAAAUCGGGAUUAAGGGGGUACAGUAAGUGCGACAAACAUAGUUUGGUUAUGCACCCCUUGCCCUGUGUUGUGCAUUCAAAAUAUACGAUGCUGCCAAACACGAAAAUAACUAAAAAUUGGCAAGUUAUCGUCAAGCAACCAGCAGAUAUAUAACUUACAAGAUCGAUCAAAUAGAUAUUACUAUAAUGACUGUCAACAUGAACCAAACAAACUUCCCAUUUUGUAAUCAUUAUAUGAUUCAAACCAAUUAAUAUAAUAGAAAAAUUAAGAUUCAUUCUCUGUGUGUGGUCGGCACCUGUUGGGGAAAUUAUCAAUAAAUUUAAUCGAUUUUCAUUUACUGUAAAUAAAUCAUGAAUGAUGCAGUGUACUAUAUAAUAUGUUCGGCAAUUAAACCCAAUUGUUGUAUGUAAAUAUUUAUUUGUCUGUAGUAUUUACAUACAAACACAUUUUACUAUUUGUAUUUAUAAAAUGUUUCUAAAAGAAAUAUACAAGAUUACUCAUUGUUUGUCAAAAGGUCAUUAAUUAACAACCGAAUAUCUAUUCAUUAAACAACCGAUUUUUAAAAAAAAAAACUGUGUAUCUAUAAUAAUUUUACUGAAUUUGUCAUAGGUGUAUAUUUUAUUAAAAUAAGUCAAUAAAAAAAAAAUAUUGCACAUAAUAGAAUAUUCCUUUUUUAAGCAAAGUUUCACCAUUAAAUCGUAAAGAAUAAUCUUGAAAUGUAUUGCUUGUGAUUUUAUGAUUCCCCACUGCUAAUUGACUUGAGCAUAAAACAAGUAGCAUGUGAAAUACUGGGAUUUUAAAUCUAAUACCAGGAACGUUAUUGCGUUUUGUAAAUUUCCAUUUAAAUGAUCGCGAUGUCAAAAUUAAUGAGUAAAUUGCUUCCAGUAGAUUUUUUGUUUCGUUUUUUUUUAGAAUGGAAUUUUAAUAAUAAACGAACACAACGCACCUUUGUAUUUUAUAGUAACUUGUAAGUUUAAUUAUUUAAAUUUUAUUAGAUUUUUUUUUUCUGAAAAAUAAAUUUGUUUUUGCAUUUGUAAAUCUGCCAAAUGAAUAUAAUAAUGUUGAAAUUAAAAUUAUUUUUUAACAUAUAUCUCUCUCUAUAUAUAUUGGUUGAGUUAUAAAGUUAAGACCUAUAGACGGCAAACAAUAUAAAACUAAUAAUGGCAUUAAGACCUGAAGAAUGGCACAUUGGCAUUGUACAUAAAACUAACAGAUUAUAAAUAUAUACAAACUGUGUGGCACGUACAAGAGAUAUGAAAGCCUACUGGAAAGUAAUCUUGAAGUGGCAUUUAGUGUUAGAGAGAAACACAUAAACACAGUAACAGAAUACAAUUUUUAUUGGAAAUAAUCACUGGUUUAUUUAUUAUAUAAGCACGACGUUUCGACAAGUACCCUAUUAUCAUUAUCGAGUACUAUGAGGAUUGUCGAAACGUCGUGCUUAUAUAAUAAAACCAGUUAUUGUUUCCCAUAAAAAUUAUGUUCUGUUACUGAACGGUAAUAUUUAAGACUGAAGGAUUAUCGGUUGUAUUUUAUUAUAUAAAUUAUAUAAAUAUAUCGACAUCUUAAUUUAUAUAUAAAACAUCAUUUAAAGCACAUAUCUUUAUGUUGUUCAUUUCUAUACAGUCCGAAAUUUUUGAAUUUUUAGAUAAAUGUAACGAUAAUUGUUUAUUCACCCAAUAAUGGCAUCUGAGCAAGGCAUUAACACCAUGCUUAACUAGUCAGAAAUUUCGGGCUAAUUAAGAACACGAUUCCAUAUCUUCUUUGCUUAACCAUCUGUCAUCAAAUGUGCCUAUCAUAAUGAUAUAUAUUAUACCAAGCCAUCAAUUUUGUAUAUUACAAAUCAUGUAUGUACAUAAAUUAUAACCUAAUUAUUAGUAUAUAUUUGUGAUAUUCUUUUUUUUUUCUUUUUUUUUCCGACAUGGUUUACAAUUAGCUAUAUAUCAUACAAUAUUAUGAAUUUAUUAUAUAGAACCUAUAAUGCCCGAAAAGAUAACAGUUUUGCUCUUGCAAUUACACAUAAAUACCUCUUUCUGUUUGUAAGGCAGCUAAUUUUAUCAAAUAUCAACGCACAUUAUUUUAAGUAGCAAGGUGUCUGUACUUCCCUUUGUUGCUUUGUGUGAAAUUAAAAACGAGCUAUUAAUAACAUUUUGUUUGAUAGAAAAUACAGAAAUAAAUUGGUUCA